CCUUAACUACAGUUGAUGAGCUUGAUACUAGAUAAUGCAAACUCCUGCAAUUGUCUACAUCCAACUUUGAUAGUCGUGGUGGAAGAUCCGGUAAUGAUUCAAGUCUUUUGCAAUUCCUUAAUCCGAGAUAUUGCAACUCAAAGAGUUUAUUGAUGCUUAUAGGUAUUCUCUGAAAAUCGUUUCCACUUAGAUCUAACACUUCCAGUGAAGAAAAACAGCCAAGACUGUCCGGCACUUCCGAUAGACUGCAACCAUCUAGAUUUAGCUUACGCAAACAAUCUAAAUCCACGCAUCUCUCGGGCAAUUGCAAGUCAACAAAACAUUUAAUGUCUUUUAGAUAUUUGCAGUUUCCCACUUCCAAGCAGGCAAGUCCCUUCAAAUUUCUAAUCGGUGAAGGCAACUCUGUUAUGCUUGUCUGUUCUAAAUAGAGAUAUCUCAAACAUACCAUCGGCUUCAAAACUUCUGGAAACUUCCGAAAUUGGACACAACCUGAGAGAUUAAGCCUCUCCAGUUUUCUCAACUUGUAGAUGUUGCUUGGAAGAAUCUCAAAUUGUUUGCAGUUUCUUAGGUGCAAUUCAACAAGAUCACACAAACAUUCUAUUGAGGAGGGAAUCUCUCGUAUUGCUGUCCCAUUUAAAUACAGCUCCUUUAAAUUAUUUGAAAACUUUGGAAACUCCGUGAUACUUGAGCAACCAGAAAGACUAAGUUUUUCAAGACAUACUAACUUAGAAACCGUACUCGGCAGAUUCUUCAGCCUGUUGCAGCCAACUAGAUCUAAAUAAAUGAGUUUCCUUAGAUCACCAAUUGAAGAUGGCAGUUCUUCUAUUGCAGUUGCAUUCAAGUACAAGUAUCUUAUAUUCGUUGAAAAAUCAGGAAGCCUGCUGAUAGAUGAGCAGCCAGAGAUGUCAGCAAUUAGAAGAGAUUUCAACAAAUACGUGUUUUCUGGAAGAUUCACCAGGAGGUUGCAGUUGUUCAAAUUCAACGCAACAAGUCCACUGAGUUCCUCAAUUGAUUGGGGAAGCUCCUCAAUAGCAGUUUCAUUUAAAUUUAAGUAUGUCAGUUUCCUUGCAGUUUCUGGGCACUUCUUGAGAUUUGCACAACCAGAAAGGUUUAGAGUCUCCAGACAACUUGAAUUAAUUCUACUGGGAAGAUUGAUUAGUCUUUUGCAGCCUCUCAAAUCUAAAUCAACAAGCUUGUCCAGAUGCUGUAUAGAUGAAGGCAACAUAACCAAACUUUUACAGAAUUGAAGAUUCAAUCUCUCAAGGUUUCUGGCCUUUGAAAGGUCUGGCAGGAAAGUUAUGUGCUCACAAUUGCUGAGGGUGACAUCUUUUAAAUUGCCGAGAUUCUGAAGCAAAAAGAAAUCAACAGAAAGAAAUUACACGUGCAUACCACACCAAAUUUCCAAGAAAGAACUAUGCAUGCAUAGAGUUAUUUUAGAAUACCUGGUGUCCUCUCCACAGUUGGUUAACCUUGCUAGAUGAUAGGUUAAGUUCAACAAGGUUCUGUGGACGAAAAUUGCAAGGCAAAGAUGUCAAAGGGUAUCCAUCCCAAUGGAGAUACCUCAACUCAUGAGAAAGAGACUCGAGGCCACUAGGAAGGUGCACUGUGCAUUUAUCACCACCUACAGAAUUAUAAAUUUUUAGCAGUCUAAGAUUAUACAUCCUUGCGAAGGCUGUAGAACUCAACUCUAUUUCUCUUAUUUCUGAAACAUCCAAGAACAUCCCUUCAACGUUUUCAGUUCUUAGUUUUGAAACAUCCAAGAAUAUCCCUUCAACUUUUCCAGUUCCCUGAAAACCAGUAAAGGAGAAGCAAAGUUUAAUUAAGAUUUUAAACUUACAAGUACAACCAUGUUGUAUUGCAUAGGAAAGAGAAAAUUUUGGGGUAUAUGAAUCUCACCAGAUUAUUGGUUAACACUUGAUAUGCAUCUUUUGGAUUCCACAAUCUGCUCUGUCUUCCUAGCUCGUCAAGAGAUUCUUUACAAACAACUUCAUGGGCCAUUUCUUGCAAAAAAUCAUGCAUUUCAACCUUGUCAUCUGAAAUUUUAAUGAGACACCUGUCAAUGAGAACACUAAAUCCAAUAUCUGUUUUGAAACCGCAGCCAUCUAGUAUCCGCUUUACAAAAUCAACUUGAUGCCCUCUAAAGAAACAUGCAAUGUCGAGAAAUAUACUCUUCGUGUUAUUAUCACGUAGUGCAUCAAAGCCUAUUCUCAGCAAGUCACAAAUGUUCAGCUCGGGAAAGCUUUCGAUCUCAUUUAAUUGAGAUUCCCAAAAAUGUCUUUCUCUACUGAACAAGAAGGAACCCAAAACUUGAAGAGCUAAGGGGUUGCCUUUGGCAUAAUUUAUUGCCAUGAUUGACAACUCCAUAUAAGAUUUUGGGGGGUGGUUUCCCUUAAAAGCAUUCAAGCUAAAGAGUUGAAGAGCUUCGUGGGAGUUUAAUUCCUCAACCUCGUAUAUUUCAUCAACUACAUUCUUAAGUACUUGCUUGUCUCUUGAUGUUACAACAACAACACUUCCUGCACCAAUCAGAGGCACUUCAAUUAAAUGCUGGAAUUGUCGUACAUCAUUGACAUCAUCCAAAACAAGGAGAACUUUCUUUUGGCAGAGUCUAUCCCUGAUGAAAGUAGGUCCUAUAUGUGGUGUCCCAACGCGAAGAUUUUCUUCCUCCAGUAGUUUAGAAAGAAGUUCAUCUCGUAGAUAAUUUAAUCGACCCUUUUCUGAUUCCUGCCUUAUGUUCGGAACAAAGUGGCAGCCUUCAUACUGACUUGAGAUGCUAUAGAAGAAAGCUUCCGCAAUAGUUGUCUUGCCUAUACCACCCAUGCCCCAAAUUCCUAUUGUGCGGACAUCAGAUGGCACAAUAGAUAGUAAAUUGUUGAUUUGCUCAAUGCGUGAAUCUACUCCAACCAGACCUCUUAAUUUGCUUGGGGAUGCACGAUUUAACCUUUUCCAUAUAGUUUGCACAACUUCUCUUACUAGUUUGGACUCCGGACUGCAAAAAAUGAAAGAAGCAUCUUUAACUCAAAUUGUAUCUUUACGUCGAAUAAAAAAUCUAUAAGAAACUGGUGGAUUUUUUUUAUUAUUAUUAUAUGCAAAUGUUGUCAAAGGUAAGGUUUUGAACUCAAGAACUCAAGGUAACAUUAAGGUGCAAGUCCAUUGCCUGUUGAUGGAGGUAAGUUUCCCACUAAAAAACAGAACAGACUUGUGCCUCUUCAAGCAACAAGUACUAUGAACUAAGAAACACAAAUGAUUUACAGGAGAAAAAAAAAACAAUAAUAUGCACAAGAAAUUUUAAUUCUAUAAAUACAUUUUAAUUGCUAUAAUUCCAGAAAAAAAAGGUUGAAGAUGAGAAUCUGUAGUUACCUAGUAACCUGUGAAUCCCAUCCAGAUAUACUGGCUGCAUUUGUCAAGGCAGCCCUCCACCUUGGCACCUUGUCCAUCUUCCCCCUUAAAAAUUUUUUCAAGCUCAGCAAAUGCAUUCCCAAAACUCCCAGUCUGUUCAUCAACAUCAGAUGGGUCUACUUGAUAGAAGACCGGUAAAACAAUCUGCCCAUAAGUCUCUUUGCAUUCAAGUAUUUUCACCAGUUCAUCCACACACCACGGAGAAGAUGCAUAGUUCUUGGAGAAAAUUACUACAGAAACUCUUGAUUCUUCAAUCGUUUUCAGAAGGGCAGGGGUAAUUUCUUCUCCUCUUUCAAGCCCGUCAUCAAUAAAGGUCUUGAUUUUCUUACGACGCAUAGCUUCAUAGAGAUGGCUGGUAAAAUUAUUGCGCGUAUCCUCGCCUCUAAAACUAAGGAACACAUCAUACUUCCUUUUACGAGCAAGAGCAGAUGAAGAUGCCAUAUCAGACAGUUACAAGAUCGUGUCUUCCUCAAUCGCUAAGAAUCGAAAUCAAUAACUGCUCUCCUUUUUCUCCUAAAGACAUACAAAGAGCACCCACUUCAACAGCUGAACAUUCGUUAAGAGAAAUUGAAGUCUAAUAGUACAAGAACCCACACAACUUAUAUUUAUCAGAAAAUUCCUCAAACUCUUAACGAUGGAUAUAUACUAGCUUAAUUUGAUACGAUCAAUCUUAACAUGAUCACUCGUCACUUGCUAGCUUGCUACUACUUUCAUUACAAGAACAGUCACUAGCUGAGCAAAAAGAAUUACAGAUGGAAUAAUUAAUACGUUCAUGAAACAAACUUAUCAAACUCGUAUAUAUAAUCUUAAAUAAAGAAGACGCAUGAACCAGAAAGACUUACCAACAGAUCAGAAGAACAGUUGACUUGUGUUUUGCAUCAGCAAACAAUACAAAGAAGCUGAUUAUUGUUGAUGAUAAGAGACGAUUUUUCUUGUCUAUUGCCUUCUCCUACUCCAUCAAGUAAAUUUGAUAGAACAAUGGAACAAUGCAACAGUAGAGAAUGUAUGUUGCAGCCAAAAGCUUGAGGUCUGCGUGUAUUGUAUUAGGGUUUUAUAAUCCCUUAAUGUCCACAAUUAAUGCCUAAAUACAUGUCUAAGAAUAUUCACAUUCCAUAAUAGGAAUAUUACAAUCAGCUCAUCCCAUAUUUAGAUAUUCCAUAAUACCCCCCCCUCAAGUUGGAGCAUGAAGGUCUCGGAUGCCCAACUUGCACAAUAAAAAUUCAUAUUGUUGCUUUCCCAAGGCUUUUGUGAAUAUGUCGGCAAGUUGUAAUGAAGACGUAACGAAUGUAGUCGUAAUACUCCCAGCCACAAUGGCAUCACGUAUAAAGUGACAAUCAACCUCAAUAUGCUUAGUGCGCUCGUGAAACACAGGAUUCUGUGACAUAUGAAGGGUCGAUUGACUAUCACAAUGAAGGGACAUAGCAGUCGGAUGAGAGACGCCAAGACUUUCCAGUAAAGCUUUAAGCCAAGUCAACUCACAUGUCGUCAUAGCCAUAGAUCGGUAUUCUGCUUCGGCGGAGGAGAGGGAGACAAUGUGUUGUUUCUUGGUUUUCCAAGAUACCGGUGAAUUACCAAGAAAAACUAUCCAGGCAGUAAGUGAUCGUCGAGUAAGGGGGCAACCGGCCCAAUCGGCAUCACACCACCCGUGUAGUCGCAGAUCACUGUCACUACGAAGAAAUACACCUUGACCCGGAUUACCCUUAAGAUACCGGACCACCCGCAAAGCAGCUUCCCAGUGUUCCUCCCGUGGGCAUUGCAUGAAUUGGGAUAGAAUAUGCACACUAUAAGAGAGUUUGGGUCGAGUGAAGCAAAGAUAAAUCAAUCGUCCUACCAAGCGACGAUAUUUUUCCGGAUCGACUAAUGCUGUACUAGUGGACAAAGCAAGUCGAUGAUUUUGUUCUAAAGGAACAGCUGCUGGUCGAGCCCCUAGUAACCCGGCCUCCGAAAUAAUGUCAAGUGCAUAUUUGCGUUGACAAAGAACAAAACCAGCAGGAUUGCGCGCCACUUCAAUGCCCAAAAAAUAUUUUAGGCAGCCAAGAUCUUUCAUGUGAAAGCAAACACUGAGAUAAUCUUUGAAUGUCUGUAUAUCACCCGGACGAUUGCCAGCAAUAAUAAGAUCAUCAACAUACACAAGGACACUAAGUUGUACUUCCCCCUACAGAUAUGUGAAUAAGGAGUAGUCAGAAUAAGAUUGCUGGAAACCAUAGCUCGUCAAGGUGGUUGAGAGUUUAGCAAACCAGCACCGAGGAGCUUGUUUCAACCCAUAAAGCGACUUUCGAAGUUUGCAAACUGCCCCAGUUGUCCCGACACGAAAACCAGGCGGAAAUUUCAUGUAAACUUCCUCCUGAAGAUCACCAUGCAAAAAUGCAUUAUGAACAUCCAUCUGAUGUACUGCCCAAUUCUUCGCGGCGGCCACAGCAAGAAAUACCCGUACGGUAACCAUUUUUGUGACAGGCGCAAAGGUGUUCGUGUAAUCAAGGCCUUCAGUCUGAUGAUUGCCCAAAAUGACUAGGCGAGCCUUCAAUCGCUCAAUAGUACCAUCAGAAUUAUAUUUGAUCUUGUACACCCACUUGCAUCCCAAAGCUUUCUUCCCAGCCGGUAGACUCUGAACAACCCAGGUCUCAUUAGUUUCGAGUGCGGAAAUUUCACGCUGCAUGGCAUCUCUCCAACCUUUGUUUCGGACUGCCUCCGAAUAGGACACGGGUUCCCGCUCAGCUGUGAUGACUGCAAGAAAGUGUCUAUGUCGUAUAGAAAAUUUGUCACAAUUCACAUAAUGUGCUAAAGGAUAGGGUGUACCUGAAGGAUGCAGUGGGUCGAGUGGCGAGCGAGAUGGACUCAGUUGAAUGGUGUUGGUGACCUUUUCCCAAUACAUGAAGUCGGACGGAGGGAUACCGCUGGCGAUGUCCUCUUCCCAAUAGAUUAACCUUUUCUUCUAGAUGAGGAGAAGUCGAUGGGGCAAUAGUUGGAAGUGACUCAGAAGAUGAAUGAGCAAACUCCAGCAUAUCCUUGGGUAUAAGAUCGUGGGCCUCGUCAGAAGUGGUAAGAGCCAUAUCGGGAGUGGAAGGCCCGUCAGUAGUUUGAGUAAGAGGAAAAACAUCUUCGGAGAACACAACAUCCCGAGAGACAAAAAAAUCUUGUCUUUCCAAAUCAUACAAGCGCCAUCCCUUCUUCCCAUAGGGAUAACCAACAAAAAUACACCGACGACUUCUACUUGCCAUUUUAUCCCCCGUCUUCUCAUGUGCAUAACACAAAGACCCCAAAACACGUAAGUGAUUAUAAGACGGUUCCACCCCAUGUAAAACAUGAUAUGGUGUUUUCCCAUCCAAAAUCAAGGAAGGAGUCCGAUUGAUUAAGUACCCAGCAGUCAAUACACACUCGCCCCAAAAUUUAAUUGGAAGAGAACCUUGAAAUCGCAGAGCGCGGGCUACAUUCAAAAUAUGUUGAUGUUUUCUCUCCACACGCCCAUUUUGUUGUCGAGUGUCUGUAAAAGAAGUCUGAAAAAUAAUUCCUUGAUCAAAGAAAUAUGAUUUCAGACAUGUAAAUUCUGUCCCGUUAUCGCUUCGGACAAUUUUGACUUUCCGAGCAAAUUGUCUCUCAACCAUGACAAAGAAUUGUUUAAGCAUACUAGAUACCUCUUUCUUGUCAACAAGCAAAUAAAUCCAUACAGCACAAGAGAAAUCAUCAACAAUAGUUAAAAAAUACGAAGCACCACAUGAAGAAACUAUUCUAUAUGGUCCCCAUAAAUCACAAUGAAUCAGUUCAAAAAUACCCAAGGUCUUAUUUUCGCUAACACAAAAUUUAUCUCUCCGCUGUUUUGCUCUUUGACAAACAUCACAAUUUUUAUUCAAACUGUUUUCCUGGUUACUAGAAUGAACUUCGGGAACUAACUUUGUUAUUCGUAGAGAAGGAUGCCCCAGUUGCUGAUGCCAGAGAUCAAGAGACGCUCGAUUACUGAUCUUCAUUGUAUUAAUCCGCAGUAUCCCUUUGAAAUAAUAGAGUCCAUCUCGUCUCUCACCCGCACCAAUCAGCAUCCUCGAGGUGUGGCCCUGUAUAACACAUAAUUUUUUAGUGAAUAGUAUAAAACAAUCAUACUGAUCAAUUAAUUGCGACACAGAAAUUAAAUUGCAAGUAAGUCUUGGCACAUAAAGGACAUUUGCAAGGCACAAAUCUCCAUCAAGAACUGUUGUUCCCUCUUUGACCGCCAAAGCACUACUUCUAUCUGGUAAUCCAACGGGACAUUGAUCAAUUAUUCUUAAAUCAGUAAGUUCCUCAAUGGACCCUGUCAUGUGAUUAGAAGCCCCGGUGUCCAAUAUCCACACCGAACCAGUCACUAUCCCAUACAAAUUUUUAAGCUUACCGGUCAUUUUAUCAGUUAUUUCCUUCGGCUCUCCCAAGAUAGCCUUUAAUUUUGCCCAUUGUUCGUCACUCAAACCUGGGAACGACGAGCUUCCUCUUGUGUCUGCAACAGUGGCAGAGCUGGACCCGAUGUUGGUGAGAGCAGCGUUAGCACGGUGGGUUCCUCUGUGACCCCGGCCUCUUCCUCUACCACCGGAGUACCCUCUGCCACGGCCAGCCUCUCUUCUCUCGUCUCCCCUGGGUCUGUCACCCCACUAUUCAGGGCAUCCCGUUAGGGCAAAGCAAUUGUCUUCUCCAUGCCCUGAUUUAUGGCAGUGCGAGAAAAUCCCCUUCUCUUGCCCGUCGGUUCGAGUCAUGGAGCCCUGCUGUCGUCCGUCGGUUCGGGUGCGAGCAACAAAAGCCACAAAUUCUCCCUGUUCUUCUUGAGUGAGGAUGGAAUAAACCUUGUGCAACCCCGGUAAUGGGUCUUGUGCCAGGAUGUUAGAUCAGGUUGUCCCGAACCGCUGCUCAUCAAGACCCAUAAGAAACAGGUGCACCUUCUCUUCCUCUCGUCUCUUUUCCAAUUCUGAACCCAGAUUGCAUGUGCACUUUCCACACUUGCACACCGGCAAUUGCUCAAAAUUGCCCAGCUCAUCCCAUAAUUGUUUCAAUUUCCCAUAGUAAUCCAUGAUAGUCAUUCCUUUCUGUUUGCAAUCGGCCAAUUAGGACCUUAAUUGUUGAAUCCGAGGUCCAUUGGUGAUGCUGAAUCGGUCUUUGAUGUCCAACCACAAAUCCCGUGCAAUCUCUACAUGAGAUAUGGUUGAUCUGAGUGUGGAUUCGAUAGUGUUUCGAAUCCAGGACACCAACAAUGAAUUGAUGGUCCACCAGUCUUCCCAAUCUUCUGAUUCUUCACUGGGUCGUGCAAUAGACCCGUCGAUGAACCUGAAUUUCUUUCGGGCUCUCAGGGCUGUUCGGAACGAACGUGCCCACUCUUCAUAGUUGUUCCCCUUCAGUUGGACCUGAGUAAUCGUAAACCCAGGAUUAUCAAGAGAUGUAAUAUCGUAUGGCGAAAUCGUUUUUCGAUUCUCACCAGAUACAACCCUGCUGCCGGACAUGGAUUCUACCAUGUAUUCUGUUUGAUUGUGUUUCGAUUGUUUUAUUGCUCUGAUACCAUGAUAGAACAAUGGAAGAAUGCAACAGUAGAGAAUGUAUGUUGCAGCCAAAAGCUUGAGGUCUGCGUGUAUUGUAUUAGGGUUUUAUAAUCCCUUAAUGUCCACAAUUAAUGCCUAAAUACAUGCCUAAGAAUAUUCACAUUCCAUAAUAGGAAUAUUACAAUCAGCUCAUCCCAUAUUUAGAUAUUCCAUAAUAAAAUUCUUACAGACAAUCUAAUCUCAUCGUUAUCUAAAUGAAAGAUGGUUUGAUCAAGAAAUAUGUGAAAGUGAGAAGACUUAGGAGUCAAUACCAAUUAUUGAUCAAGAAACAGGUGCAAGUGAGAAGACUGUGGGGUCAAUACCAAAUACGUCGGCCAAUGGACAAUGGCCUAUGAUUUUUUUUUUCUUUUUUUCUUUUUUAGUUCCCAAUGGAUGGGCUUCCUAACGUAAUUUGUUAGGGUCUUCCAAGCCGAAAAGCCCUCCAAAAUCUUAACCCAUUUCAACCUUUGUUUUGGGUUUUGCAAACAAAAAUAUACAUAUCAUAACUAAUUCUUAUUAGAUUUAUAGGAAAUAUAGAAAUACUGGGUUUUGCAUUAUGUUGGAAAUAUGUAUUGAUUAGUCAUUUGUUUUUAGCUUGCAUUAAUUAAAAAAAUAUCAUUCUUGUACUAAAAAAUAUUUUUUUCUUCUUUGCAAAAACAAUUUUUUUUCUCUAUCAAAAUUAUCAUGUAAUUUAAUUAAAUUACAUGAUAAGAUAAGUUUAAGGUCUAAUAAGUAAAAAAGUUGCCUACCAUUAUUACUUCCCUUAUUAUGAAAUGAACCGUACUGUUUUUGUUUUUGUUUUUUUAAGUUAACUAGUCAGUUGCCUACCAUUAUUUUUAUAUUUAGAUUAACGAAGAAAUACUAAAGUAAAAAACUAUUAAAAAUACAACUUUACAAAAAUAUAUAUUUUAUAAUUGAUGAUAAAAUAAUGUUCAUUUCAGCUGGUAAUUCUACUAAAUAACAUGUAUCAUCUAGUUUUAUAAUUUAAUUUAAUUCUUAUUUUCCUAAAGAAAAAAGUAAUUAAUCCCUUAACAUUGCUUUGCUAUAUGAUUAAUCUUGCUUAUUUGUUUUUCAUGUAUACGCAUGAAAUUCUUGAUGUGUCGUUUAAUUUAUUGGUUAAUGCUCGAUUUGAAAAUGCAAAAUUUAAUUUUAUUAAUUUUAAAAAAUUAUAAUUUAAAUAACUAAAUUUAAAGAUUAAAAAAAUAUUUAGUUUUUUUUGUCAAGAUUAGGGAUUGAUUUAUAUGGUUAGGGAAAGUUCAUGUCUUGUUUUUAUUUUAGUCCCUUACCUGUUUAUUCUCUUGGUUAAUUCUUGGUUCGGGAAAGCCAAUUUCAAUUUUAUUGAUUUCAAAUAAUUAUAACUUAAAUAACCAAAUUUGAAGAUUAAAGAAAUAUUUAGUUUGAAUUAUGUCCAUUUAUGUUUUUUGCUUGAACAUACUAAAGAAAUUUCCCCUUUUUUUAAUUUUUAUGACUUUGGGCAUUUAUCAUAGGCUGAUAAAAAAGAAAAGAGAAGUUAUAGUAAUUGAUUCUGAAAUUUCAGAGGUAAAGUCAUUAUUUGUCUCAAAAGUAUCUUUCACUAUACACCGGUCUUCAGCGAGCAACUCAUCACCCACUCCAUCUAUUUCAGCCAAUCAACAAGUUCAGCUAGCAUUUUUGCAAUCAGAAUCUUCCAUAAAUAUUGAUACACUACCUCUAUAAUCGUCAUUUUUUUUAUCAGAGGUUACGUCAUUUGAAAAGAUGGUGAAUUUUAUUUUAAUGGAUGAUGGUUAAGAUAUUGAUAUACUACCUCUUAAAACUAUAAAAGAGCUUUGGAUUUCUAUAAAUGAACUCUUUUUAAAUCAUAUGAUGAUUCAAAAGUUUAAUUAAGGAGGGAAAAACACCAUAAAAAAGAUAAAACUUGUAAUAUCCAUGGAAAUAUAAAGUUUAAUGCACCUUUUUUCAGGUUAUAAGGCCAAAAUCACUUAUAACAUGUUACUUGAAUGGUCAUGGAUACAUAAAAAUAAUAUCGUCUUUUCAACGCUCUAUCAAUAUUUUAAAUAUUAUUAAAAUGGAUAAGUGAGAAAAAUAAUAAUAGAUACCAACCCUUUUACUAUAGCUUAAACCCACUUUAUUUUAAUGAAAUUAUUAAUUAAUUAAUGCGGAUAAAUGGGUCGGUCAUGACGUCCAAUUAUUUAGAAAACAAAGCUUUAUCCUUUUGGUUUGGUCCAUCGUUGCAAAAGCAUUCCCUUUUUGUUUUUUUUCAAAACUCACCACCUUAACAUCUUGGCUGCAAACAUUAAUUUGAUAUUUAUAAAAAAAUAUUGAAGUUAAUCAUUCUUUGUGUGCGUUUGUAAUAGAGGUGUGGUUGAUUUUUUUGGUGUUAUUUAUAUAAAAAACAUGUAUUUUUUUUUAUUUUUAAUGAGAUAAUUUAUACAUUAAGAAAAUUAUACCUUAAAAAAACCUAACCAUAUCCUUAUAUGAAACACUCUUAAUUACAUUACCUCAGUUGUGUCUGCAUUCAAACACCGAGAUAAUUGUUCUCCUCCACUCCUCUAUCAAGUAAACAUGACCUCAGUGACCAUGAGUAUAGAUCAAAGUUGUCAAUUCCGUUCCGUUUCGUUUGAAAUGACCGAAACAUUCUAUAUUAAUUCAAAAAACAGAACAAAACAGAAUAAAUUUCAUCUCAUUUUAAAUCUUGGUCUGUUCCGGAUUUUUCGGCUAAAUUCUGCCCGGAACGUUCCAGUUUCAUUCCACAUGUUCCGUUUCGUUCUUGAAAAGCUAUUGAAUCAAAUUGAACCUUGUUCAAUUUGAUUAAUUAAACCACCCAAUUAUAAAAAGCUCUUUUUCAUUACUAUUUUCAAUAACAAUUAUAAUAAUAAUAAUAUUGAAAAUUAUUAUUACUAUUUUCAUGAACAAUAAUAUUAAUUUUUUAAAAUUAGAUUUAUCACUAAUAUAUAUGAUUUAUAUUCAUGUUGUUUUUUUCAUGUUUAUACUUUGUAGAAAUUUGAGCAAAACAAUAGAUGCUUUAGAUUCCAUUAGCCUUGAUAACUGUUGUAACCCAUUUUUGGGUCCCCAUGAAAAAAUAAAAUAAAUAGCCAAAAAAAGGUUAGAAAAAUAACAGGAGGCAGAAGCACUCAGGAAACAGUCAGAAAAUUGGUCAAGAAAUUCAAAAAUACGAGGAUUAAAUUUUUGACAGUAUAUUCUUGAAGGAUGAAAGCCCUAUUGAGAAGAAAAAUUUGAAUUUUAGGGAGAGAAGCCCAAAUUUGGAUUUUUAUGGGCUUAAUUGGAUUUUUAGGGACUUAAUUGGAUUUUUAUUUGAAUUUAUGAAGGAUUUGAUUGCAAGAAAAAUUAAUUUUUAAGUCAAUUUGGGCUUUAAUUUGAAGAAAUUUAAGUUCUGGGGCCAAAAUAUAUUUUUUAGGAAUUUAUUGGGUCAAAUCAGGGGCUUAAUUGCAUAAAUAUUGAAGUUUAAGGGCCAAUUAGGGAUUUAAUUAAGAAAAUCCGAAACCAGGGACCAAUUGGAGAAGGCGCGUAAAUGGAGGGGCUGUUUUUUUGUUUCAGGGGCUUAAUUGAAGAAAUUGAAGUUUAUUGAUCAAUUAGGGGCUCAAUUGCAUAAAUCAGAGGCCAAGGACCAAAGUGAAAAAGGCGGCCAACAAGAGGGGGGACCGAAGGUGAAAUUGGGGACUGAUUGGAUUUAGCCCUUUAAAUGAAACGGCGCGUUUUACCAAAACGACGCCGUUUCAUAUAAAAAAAAAAAAAAAAAAAAAACCGAACGGUGUCGUUUUGAACGACACUGUUCAUCUUCUCUUCCCCCCGAACCUGCAACAGAAGAGAAAAAAAAACCAUCCCGCGUCUCUCUCUCCUCGCCCCCCACCUUUAGAUAUUGGCCGACCAGCCGUUACACCCGAUGGUCCCCCACGGUUCUGCCCCUAUAAAAGAAAACCGAAAGAAAGAGGAAGAGACACCCGAAGGGAGGAGAGAGAGAGAGGAGGCCAAAGAGAGAGAGAGAACCGAACACCGAAGAGAGAAGGAGCCGCAGCGCCGCCCGGGAAGCCACGCCACCGCGGAGCCACCGCAGCACCGCCUCCUCCACGCCAGGUCACCUCUUUCCCCCCCCCUGUCGUUAGUUUUUGUAUUUGUUUUCCCUGCAUGCAGAAUGAACAUUCUGCAUGCAGGGAGGAGGGGGGAAUUAAUUCCCCCCUUGUUUAUACGUAGCUGGGCCAGGUGGAUCCUGGCCCAGCAUCAUUUGUUUUGGGCCAGACUGAGUCUGGCCCGGCCUUGUAUCUGACGGGCCAGACCAGGUCUGGCCCAUACCAGCUCUCUAGGCCAAGUCCGGCCCAGAUAUUUGGGCCGGCCCAGCCCGAAUUAUUUUUAUAUUAUAUAUUAUAUAUUAUAUUAUAUGUGUGUAUAUAUGUAUAUAUAUAAAAUAUAAUAAUAAAAAAUAAAUAUUUUGAAAAAAUCUUAAAAAAAUAUUGUUGAUUUUUCUGCAUAUUUUUGUCAAAAAUGUUUUAAUUUUGGUUUGUAUUUUUAUACUGUAAAGAUACAAAACCAGUGUUAUAAAUACCCGGUUUUCGUCAAAACAUCAAAGAUUUUCAGAAUAAAAAAUGUUUUUGCUUUCAAAAAAAUUCUAAAAAGUCCCUAAAAAUGUUGUUGAUUUUUCUGCAUAUUUUUAUCAAAAUGGUUUAAUUUUGGUUUGUAUUUUUAUACCGUAAAGAUAUAAAACCAGUAUUAAAAUACCCGGUUUUCGUCAAAACAUCAAAGAUUUUCAGAAUAAAAAAUGUUUUUGCUUUCAAAAAAUUUCUAAAAAUUCCCUAAAAAAUGUUAUUGAUUUUUCUGCAUAUUUUUUAAAAGCGGAUUAAUAUUGGGUUGUAUUUUUAUACCGUAAGGAUACAAGCUCAGUAUUAAAAUACCCGAUUUUCGUCAAAGCAUAAAAAAAAAAAAUAUUUUCUAAAAAAUAUUUUUGUUUUAAAAUACGGCCUAGUCUCUCCAAUAUAUAUACAUAAAUAUUAUAACAUCAUAUUUUCACACAACAAAGAAAAUUUUCAAAACAAUAUAUGUAUUAACAUGCAUUUUGGCUUUAAUAACCAGUUUAUUCAAGCCAUGAGAACUAGGCCAAUAUUUCAAAAAUUCUAAAAAAAUCUUUUUGUUUUCUUUUAAUAUUUGGGAUUACGAAUUUAUACGUAAAACGUAUUCCUAAAUAUUAUUAAUAAAAUUUUGGUAUGGACGUUAGAACGGUUAGGAUUUUUACCCGAUAAGAUAAAGACCUCCUUACUGAGGGGGAUUUUUCUUGAACCAUAGACAGACCAACAACUAGGAAAACACAAUAACACUUUAGUUUUUUUAUUUUUAUUUUUAUCAGACAAUAAAACAAUGCAGCUUACCUUAGGUAAGGCGUAUUUGGGGUGCUAAUACCUUCCCUUUACGCAACCAGUCUCCGUACCCGAUCUCUGAGACCAGUUAGGGUUCCUAGUGACCAAAAUACUAGGUGGCGACUCCAAAGAACCAAAUCAAAUAAAAAUAAAAAAAAUUUCGCCAGUCGAACCCGCAAUUGAAAAUUAUUAUUUUUUUGGGGUGCGACAAUAACAUUGACCUAACUUUAUAUUUAAAAUAUUUUUGUUAAAACAUUUUACUUUCAUAAUAUUUUGAUAUUUUGUUUAAGUUGAAUUACUUUAAGUUAAAGAUCGAUUUAAUCUUGACUAUUUAGAAAUAUUUUAAAUUUUAAAAUUAUAUUUAUUUGGUAUUGUGUUUGUAUUGCAUAAUUUAUAAUUAAUUUAUCUUGAAUUUGAAUUAUAUUUGUUGAAUUUAUAUAUAUGAACAGUACAACCCCGAAACGGCACGCCGAAACACUCCGAAACUGAAAUAUUCCAUUCCAAUUGAAAAAAUAAAACACCUACCGAAACGAAAUUGACAAUCUUGGUAUAAACACAUCAAGCCACACAUUGAAGAGGAGAAGUCACAUGAGAUCCCAAGCACUACUUCCUCUGCUCCAAAUUAAUUCAUGUGUUUAAUUUUUUGUUUAUAAUUUAUUAUACACACUUAAAAACAUUACCAUAUAAACUAACAAUUAUUUAACAUAUUUAAUUAAUUUUUAUUUGAAUAUUUGAUUUUCAAUUUUUUUUGGGAUAUCAUUAUUGAGAUAUUAAUCAGAGUAUCAAUUCCACAAUCCAUAUUACCUAAACUUGGACAUAUAAAGUAGUUAUAUAGAUAAAGUAGUCUUUAAUAUGUAAUUUAUUCGAAUAUUUGAUUUUCAAUUAUUAUUUUUUACCACAAUUCAAUUAUGAAUGAAGUUUAAGAAAUACAUUCAAAUAAUGCUUAAUUAAAAGCAUACAUUUAACUUUUUCCUCAUCAAUUUAACUUUUAAAGUUAUUUAAUAAUAUUGACUAUAUAUUACCAUGCAACACUAAAAAAGAAUAAGAUUUUUUUAUUAAAUUUUAUUGUUAAAAGUAAAUAAUUUUAAUAUAUAUUUUUAGUCAAUUUAUAAUAAUUUUCCUGUUGUGGCUUAUUCUGCAAAAGCACAUAUGACAGGGUGCAAGUUGCUAUUUGAGAGCUGAUAGUUUCUGGUUUGUACAUACAGCAGGUUUUCUGUGGUUUUGUUUUUAAAAAAAUAAGAAACGGAUAAUAUGUUAUCCAUCUUUUUAAUUUUUUUUAAAAAUAAAUAGAUUAGGGCCAGACAUUGGGCUCUCUCUCUCUCUCUCUCUCUCUCUCUCUCUCUCUUAAUAAUAAUAAUAAUAAUAAUAAUAAAUUAUUCAUGAUGUUUCAAUUAAACUUCGUGUUUUAUAAUUAAAAUUUUUAAAUGUACUCUAAAAAUAAUUGUAUUACAUUUAUGAUUUUUCAAGCUUUCAAUCACGCAAAAUAUGAAUAUAGUAUUUUCAUAUUUUUUAUUAACUUGUUUUAAUAAUUAUAAAAUAUUUUUUUUUCGACAAAAACAAUAAUAUCAAUAUAUUGUUUUAGAUUAUUAAAAAAUUAGGUCUCUCAUCAUAACGUGGAAAAGCAUUCCCUAAGCUAAGUCAAGGGAAAUCCCGGUUUAGGAAAUAAACAUAGGCCCAAACUAGAAGACCUGCUUAAUUAGGACAUUAUUAUGCACCCACACAGAUUCAAUCUACCUAAACAGGAGAUCUUAUGGUCUCGUUAAGCAAUGGAGCAAUAUUUCACUAUUCUAGAAAAAUAUGAAAAUAAAAUUAUAUUCAAAUAAUACAAUGAAAAAAAAGGAAAAAAAGGAAAAGUGUUUUUUUCAAGAUCUGAAUCCAUGUCGUGAAAAACAUGUUGGGAAUGAUUUCCCAGAUUUUCUCCCCCCUGCAAAAAGUUAAUGAAAACUGCGCAUCUCAAAGAAUCUUCAACUAAAUGAUGCUUUUUAACAAAAAAGCCCUCCUAACUUUCUCUUAGAAUAAACAAGUUCAAUAAAAACAAUAGGAGUGGCUAGUAGGGCCCGUGCAAAAAUUAUUGUGAAGCAUCAAUUCUAAUGCGCCGGCUCCACUCCACCUCUGGAAACAGCCUAAAAAAUAUAUAAUACCACUUCCCAGUUACCAGUGCUAAAAAAAAAACCUAAAGUUAUGUAAGAAUUCAUAAUAAAAUUCAAUAGAAUUGUGAAGCAUCAACUAAAAUAACUACUGCCCCAGAGACAACUAAAAUAACUGCUGCCCCAGAUAUGACGUGGGCCAUCGGCUCUUGUCUUUUAAAUUCUGGGUUAAUUCGAGACUUCGCUAAUCCUUGGAAUUAGAUUGUAUUUAUAUAUAAAAAAAAAAGUAGUUAAAAAUUUAGCUGAUCUGACUAACUUGGUGGUUUGAUCUCGUGAUAUGGUUGACCCAACAAAACCCGGUUAUAAUUCAUUAAUUUUUUUAUAUAUUUUUUAUCAAAAUGACAUUAUUUCUAUUUUAAAAAAAAUAGAAUUAGCAUGAAUAACUUAGAAACCAGGCUGGCUUUAAAAACAUCGAUAAUUUACUGUUUGAAAACAUGAUUCUACUGCAAUCCUCUGCUGGCUAGAAAAUUCUAUAAUUUUUAAGUUGAUAAAUGUAAGAGAAUAAAAUAAUAUACAAGAAAAACAAUAAAAAGAACUAGUGUGAAACAAUGAGUUUUAAUUGCUUGGCUUGGAUUUGAAUUGCAUGGGAUUUUAUACUAGUUGCUUGAAUUGGAUAAUGUAAAGUGCAGGUGAUAGGCUAGAGUGGGAACCGUAUAUGCCUGGGUCUCUCCCAAGCGUAGGGGAAUUUGUUUUAAAAAUACAAUUUGUCAUAUAGUUAUCAAACUCGAACCGGCAUGACAAGUUAAUUUGGUGGCUGGACCGAUUCGUGUAAGUUACAAGACUGGGAUGAGUAAAAACCCGGUAAAACCUAAUUGACUUGUGACCCAAGCAACCCGGUAAAACUCUGUUGAGAUCCCUUUUCUUUUUCUUUUUCUUUUCAAAUGUGUUUUUUCUUCUAACCAAAAUUUUUAUAUUUUUUAGUUGAUUAUUAACCCUUUUUCAAGUCAACUAUAUAAAUACUAGAAGAAUAUUUUAUUUUUUCAUUGUGAAAUUUAAAAUCUUUUAGUAUAUAUACUCUAUGUUUAUAUUCAUAAAAAAAAUGUUAUGUUUUUUUAAUAUGAAAUAAAAAAAUCUUUUGAAAUAAUAUUUUAAAUUUCAUUAUUUAUAAUAAAUAUAGUUUAUAUUUACAUGGAUUGUUUCUUAAUUUUUUUCAUAUGAAAUAUUAAAAAUUCAAAAUAAAAAAAAUUUCGAGUUGACCUAUGUAACCUAAAACCCGGCUUCCUGACUGAGUCAAUUUUCAAAUUGGGUCUGAUAACAAUGGUUUGCACACCAUCAUUUUAAACAAGAUUAUUUGAAACACUUAACCAAUAGAAGUGAAGGAAAUAAAAUAAUUGUUGUUUUAUAUAGGUGAUGUUAUAUGUUAAUUAUGGCUGCAAGAGGGAGGAGUGUUUGUUGUUUUAUGCAUGCCAUGUAACCUUGUAUUGUGCCUACAAGAGAGGUGAAAAUUGGAUUAUUUUGCUUGUUUUUACUGUAUAGUUUAUUAAAAGAAGUAAUCUAGUAAUAAAAAAGACAAGAAUAAAAAUAAAUAAUAUAGCUUGCGUAUGCAUCCAAGCAUACAUUUUAAUGGGAAAUUUCCCAUUAGCAUUCACAGAAACUAAGAAAGAUAAAACUAACCCUUCUAAAACUAAUUUUGAAAAUAAAUUGUCAUAGAAACUUGGUGUAUGGCCUUAAUCUAGAGUUUGUUUGAAAACAUGGUUGAGACUGUGUUUUUUUAAAUUUUAAUUUUUUUCUUAAAAAUUAUUAUUUUUGUAUGUUUUCAGAUUGUUUUGGCUGAUUUUAAAAAUAAUUUUUUAAAAAUAAAAAAAUAUUUUUAUACAUUUCUAAUGAAAAACAUUUUAAACCACAACUGCUACCACAAUCUCAAACAGGCUAUUAGUGCAAUAACUCAAAGCCUUAAGUUCAACAUAUACCUCAUAAUUCAUAUUUUCAUAAACCUAUACCUUAUAAUUUAUAUUUUAAUGUAGAUUUGAUAAAACAACUACAGUUAACUUAAGUCAUGAGUUUUAUAAAUAAAUUAGAAUUGAUUCGAGUCGAUCUAAUAUAAUAUUAUUUUGAUAUUAAAAAAAUAUUGUAUAAUAUAAAAAUAAAUAAUAAUGUUGUUCUGUAUUAUUAAAUUUUAAGUUUAAGAUUUUUUUUUCCAAAAAAUAAAUUAAAAAAUAUGUUAUUAGCGCCUUUAUAUUUUUUUUUUCCAACUUAAAAACAAAAAACAUGCACAGAUCUAGCAAUCCACUACAUCUCCUUAACAACUAGACAAAUUUCUUUUGUUUCUACUAUUACACAAAUCAGUUUUGGCAACUUCACAUUAGGCUUAGUUUCUUGGCGCUAGUUAACUUAUAUAGUAUAAAUUCAGCCCUUUAUUUUGUAUAAAUAUAGCCUAACAAAGUUUAUUUUCAAUCAAUAAAUGAUUUUUACACAUUGUAAAUGAUCUGACUUCCUUGAAUCUGAACUAGAAGAAGCAUUUAGAGAUGGCUGAACUGCUGCCAUAUUCUGAUCACUGCCUUCAUCAUUAUUCUGCUCAUAUUCAUCUUCUAAAACAAGUUGCUGCUGCUACCCUUCAUUGCUCCAUUUCCAUGGUUGCUCUCCAUCUAACUGAUCAUCUCUUGACGUCGCCACCGUUUUAGUGACAGGAUUGCAAACCUUGAAACCACAAGAAGUCCCCCCACGCCCUAGCAGAACGCAUUUCUGACUUUGAUUUUCAAGCUUAGUCCUCGUAUCUUCUUGUAUUUUGACAUAAUCAGCACUGCCAAAAAUUCUCAAGUGAUACGCUUUCCACUGUAAAAAAAAAAAAAUUGAUUGGUGGGUUAUUUUAUCAACACUGUUUGAAGGGAUCCUCCACCAUAUGCAAAACUGAAUUGAAAACUCUUCUGCCUUUGUCACUAGUUAUGUUGGAGGUGAUAGUCAUGAGGUCUAGAGAAUUUCUGAUGCAGCAUGUACGAUAAGAAACCAGAGCUUCUCGAAUUCUAAAAUUAUAGUUCUAAACUAUAGAAAAAACUCUGUUUUGAAAAGUUCUAAGUAUCAAUAAUCUGAAAACUGUUUUGAAAAUAACUUACAAACCGUUUAAAUAGGUGCUAAGAAACCGAAAAUAACUAGUAAAAUAAAGAACUCCCUCUUGAUUUUGUGAGGCAGAACAAGAGUGCAAGAGAGGAAGGAAAGCAUUUUAGAAGUCAGGGAACAACUUAAGAUUAUGAAGAGAAACAAAUUAGGAAGAGGAAAGAACCAAAUUAACCAGAGUUGGCAUGUAUAUAUGUAUUGCAAGUCAGAAUUCCUGUUUGCAAAAUCUCACAUGGGAAACAGAGUUGGGGGCAGAAAACAUAUGUACGUAGAGACAGACUUCUGAAGAAAGAGAUCAGCAACUUAGUGCAAGUAGAGCAGCGUAAACUAACCUGAAUCUUUGUUGAACCAUGCAAGGCACGACAGGAGAGGCUUUUUGCUGGGAUAAAGAGUGCAGAUUUCCCAUGUAAUUCCAAAAAGCAUUUAUUUCAGUGCCUCCUAAAUUGGUUCGAAUCAUUUAGGGUUGUUUCGGAUAGAUACUGCAUUCGGGAUUCCAAUUUCCAAAGCUUUAAAUGGAUAAAAGAUGCCAAGCCAGAAAGGAUUUGUGGAGAGAAAGUUUGAAGCUUUCUUCUGUAGAAAGAGAUCAUCAGCAACUUAGCCUACGUGGAGAAAUCAUGAAUUAUCAUCUUCUGCAGAUAGCAGACAGACCCCACACUUGAUCACAUUGCAACUCUUUAAAGGAUUGUUGUUCCUAUCUUCCGAGUAGAACUCAAUUACUACCUCAUUAAUCUGCCGUUGUGAUGGGCGCAUUCUGUUUUUUAUCCAUUUAAUUACGAAGAAAAACUUGUUUAAUUGAUAAAAAUUGUUCUUAAAUAUAAUAAUAUUUCAGAUUUUGGUUUUAUAAAAAUUAAAAUAAUUUAUUUUUUAUUCAUAGAUACUUCUUUGUCAUUUAAUUUACAUGGAAAAAUCUAUUUUAUAAUAGUUUUAAUCAAAUAUAUAUAUUUUUUAAAUUAUUUCUACCGUGAAACCCAAGUGUCAUUCAUAUUAAUUAUGCCUUCGAACCUUGCUCUCUUCGCUUAAUUGGAACAUUGCUUCCAAUUCAUCUCCAUCCAGAGGACAAAACCUAUAGCAGUCUUGCAUGGUCAAAGCAAAGCGAUGUAUCUCAUUUUUAUCUUUGGCAUCCAGUAGACGGACUCCACACUCGUCUACUUGAUAAAGAUUUAAUGGUAAGAGAUUGCCGUAAAUAUCUUCCGGUUAAAAUUCAACUGAAACCUCACUGUAUUCAAUCCUUUUCUUUGACAACCAAACAGGGAUCAAAUCCCACGAAUAUGUGUGCUAAGUCGAUGCGCAUCUCAUCAUACCAACCAUGGAGAUAGCAAUAGACAUCAUGGCUAUCACCGUGCUCAUUGCGGAAGUGAUAUGUGCAUUUAACUUGCAAACGAUGGCCAAAAAAACAAAAUGCAAUGACAGCGCAAAGACAGAAACCUAGGAAGGACUUGCUAUUAGCCCACUGUGAAGAUAGUUGGAAUGUUACUGUAGAUCCCCACCUUUGAUGACUAAACCACUCCGGAGUCACAUCUUCAGGGAGGUAGAAACUAAAUGUCCCAGCUGGCAUCUGUUAACACAAUUAAAAUAGCAUCUUUUGAAAAUAAGACAUAGCAAAUAUGGAAGGAAAGAAAAAAGUAUAUUUAUUGGUAUAACACAAUUAAAAAGGUUUGAGAAAUAGACCUCAUGGUAUAACUCUUCGGAAUAAAAUAUAAAAGUCGGUAAGGAGUUCACUAAGAAUUCAAAGGUCCUACACAUGACAGAAAAAUCCUCCAAUCUAUUGGCUUCUAACCUUGCUCUCUUGGCUUGGAACCUUCCUUCCAAUUCAUCUAGAUCCAGAGGAUAAAAACGAGAGGAGCCUGAUAUGAUCAAAUAAAAGCGUUGUAUCUCAUCUACACCAUCGGCAUGCAGUAGACAGACCCCACACUCAACCACUUGACAAAGAUCUAAUAGUAAGAGAUAGCCAUUCAUAUCUUCCAGUUCAAAUUCAACUGAGACCUCACUGUAUUUACUAAACAUAUCAUUUUCUUUGGCAACCAAACAGGGAUCAAGUCCCACAAAUAAAUGUUUUGAGUAGAUGCGCUUCUUAUCAUACUAACUAUGGAGAUAGCAAUAGAGAUCAUGGCUAUCACCAUGCUCAUUGUGAAAGUGAUAUGUGCAUCUAACUUGCAAACUAUGUUUGAAAGAAUGAAAUGCAAUGACAGCACAAAGAGAGAAACCCAAGAACUUGGUAUUAGCCCAAUGUAAAGAUAGCUGGAAUGUUACUUUAGAUCCCCAAAUUUGAUGGCUAAACCACUCCGGAGUCAUAUCUCCAGGGAGAAAGAAACUACAUGCCCCUUCUGGAACAUCAGGUAGCCAUAAACACAAUAUUCAAAUAACAUCUUUUUAAAAUGAAAUGUGACAAAUAGAGAAAAAAAAAAGAUGUAUAUCAGAGGUUUGAGAAACAAACCUGAUGGUAUAACGUUGAAAUUUCAAUAAUGAGUACGCCAAGAUUUGAUUGAUCCCACGCAACCUCAAGCAAUUAGUGAAAAUGAAUUCAAAAAUGUUCCCCUCAACUACAGUUGAUGAGCUUGAUAUUGUUCUCAAACUCUUGCAAUUGUCUACAUCCAACUUUGAUAGCCGUGGUGGAAGCUCCGGUAAUGAUUCAAGUCUCUUGCAAUUCCUUAAUCCUAGAUAUUGCAACUCAAACAGUUUCUUGAUGCUUAUAGGUAUAGUCUGAAAAUUGUUUCCACUUAGAUCUAACACUUCCAGUGACGAUAAAAGACCAAGACUGUCCGGCACUUUCCAUAUAUGGCAACCAUCUAGA
rnacentral:lncRNA from 1 species